rnacentral:lncRNA from 1 species
ACACUUGGCCAUAAUAACAUGUAGAAGAAGUGAGGUGAACUGUGAAUUCUUUCAGAUGCAUAGUACCUCACUAAUGUCUUGCUGUGUGGACUCAUGUUUGCAGGGGUGUCCACUGUGAGAAACAACGUACAGCUACCUCUACACCUGUGACAUCAUCAUCACAUCUCUGCUGAGGCUGCUCGCUGUUCUGGGAGCAGAAGGAGAAAAGAGAGGACUUUGACUCUCUGUCAUUCAUCGAGCUGCUUGUGGUGGAUCAUUCAGACAUCUUCCUCAUGCAGAACUGGAAACACGUCCUGUCGACUCAUCCAGAGUCAGGACGUGGAACCUGAACACUCGGGGCAGAUGCUACAUGGAGACGCUGGUGUUCAGCUUCAUCCAGAACCCACAGAUUGAUAACACCUCACCAAACGUUGUUCCAACUACAGAGGACAGAUGGGAUUCAGAUGUUUUCUUCCCUGGAGCUUCGAUGAUCACAAUACCUGGUUUUCUUGUCUUUUUCCCUUGACGUGCCUAAUAAAUCCUCAGAUCAGUUUGGGAGGCCAACUCGUUCCUGUUUUCAGAUGGAAGAAGGAGAAUGCUUCACAAAUGGAUGUCAGUUUUUUCUGGGAAACAUCAAAGAAUUUCUAGUUUCUUGAAAUAAUAAAAAAAAUGCUAAAAUUUCAGUUUGGUCUUAUUGUAGUUAACUUCAAGCAUACUACAUGGUUAAGUUAGUAUACUGAAAUCAGCUGUACUGAAUACUGUUAUAUACUUUGCCUAAAGGAU